rnacentral:tRNA from 1 species
GUUUGGAUGGUUGAGUGGUCUAAGGCGCUAGACUCAUGUUUUAGUCCUUGUAAGUGGGCGUGGGUUCAAAUCCCACUUUUGACA